GGAUAAUGUAACUUUAAAGUCAGAGUUUCCCCUUUUCGUUAUCAGUCUCGUCUCGCAAGAAGGUUUACACAGGAAAAUAUCUUCGGGUCUUCCCCCGCACCGCCCCCGAAAAGUAUGGAGUGGAGAGGCUGAUUCCUCCCUAAAUACUUUUUCUUCCCCCUGCGUUUCUCCCACCCUUUUGAUCUCACAGGCACUAACUUCUCCAUUUCCUCUCCUCCUAGGGCUGAUUUCUUGGAUUGCUCAGCACGUGAGAGGCUGGUUUCUGCAGGAGACGCUUAUCCUACUGAGUCUCUCUUACGUUCUGCCUGUAACAGAGAAAGUCCUCGUUCAUGCUUUUGUUACAGCUCACCACUUCCAAGCUUUGUAUCCUCACGGAGAUAAGAUGCCACAUUUAUAUAUUAAAAGGAACAAAUCUCCAUCGAACCCGUGAACGAUUUUAAUUUCUUUAGUCUGUUUUUCCUUCCCUUGUGAGUACCCUUACAAUAAAGAAAACGAACGAGUUUUCCUCUCUAAUGAAUGUCCUAAAUUGCCAAAAGGGCAAUUGCUCGUUGU